rnacentral:rRNA from 1 species
AGCUCCAAUAGCGUAUAUUUAAGUUGUUGCAGUUAAAAAGCUCGUAGUUGGAUUUCGGGUAGCCUUCAGCGGUCUCGCUUUGCGUUUGUACUGCUGCAGCCUGCCUUCUUGUCGGGGACGGGUUCACGGGCUUUAUUGCUUGGGACUCGGAGUCGGCGAUGUUACUUUGAGUAAAUUAGAGUGUUCAAAGCAGGCUUAGGCCGUUGGAUACAUUAGCAUGGAAUAAUGAGAUAGGGCCACCGCGGUCUAUUUUGUUGGUUUGCACGUUGUGGUAAUGAUUAACAGGAACGGUUGGGGGUAUUCGUAUUCAAUUGUCAGAGGUGAAAUUCUUGGAUUUGUGGAAGACGAACUACUGCGAAAGCAUUUACCAAGGAUGUUUUCAUUAAUCAAGAACGAAAGU